rnacentral:rRNA from 1 species
UACGUAGGGGGCUAGCGUUGUCCGGAUUUAUUGGGCGUAAAGAGCGUGUAGGCGGCCAGGUAGGUCUGCUGUGAAAAUCCGGGGCUCAACCCCGGACUUGCAGUGGGUACGGGCAGACUAGAGUGUGGUAGGGGAGACUGGAAUUCCUGGUGUAGCGGUGAAAUGCGUAGAUAUCUGGAGGAACACCGGUGGCGAAGGCGGCAUCCUGGAGCCAACACUGACGCUGAGGAGCGAAAGCCAGGGGAGCAAACGGG